GCCCGAUUGGUCUAACGGUAGUGAUACCUGGUUCUCAGCCAGGAGACGCAGGGUUCAACUCCCUCAUCGGGUA
rnacentral:tRNA from 1 species